rnacentral:rRNA from 1 species
AUGGCAGAAUGCUUCAAUAAGGUGCUCAAGGGUGUACGUGCAUUACCCGUGACGGCAAUAGUUCAAUACACAUUUGACAAGAUGAAUGAAUACUUUUUGAAGCACUCAAUGGAGACUGAUAAGCAGAUUGCUGGUGAGAACAAGGAUAAGCACAAGUACAAUUUCCCACCAAAGGUUGAAGAAUGGUUGGAAUUUCAAUCACGAAAGGCAGACUCCGAAGAAGCUGUUCUAUAUGACGACAACGAGUGGAAGUAUGAGGUGAAAGAGCCCGGAGGAACCACAAAUGAUGGCCGUCAGCACGGAGGCCGGGCUUUCAAGGUCUCCCUAACACGGUGCGAUUGCAGCUGCAUGAGGCCGUCUUUGCUUCAUCUCCCAUGCUCGCACUUGUUAAAUGCAUCCCGGGUUAGGAAUGUGGACGUCAAUCACAUCUAAAUGAUUAGUCAUACCUCUUGGGUGAUCCCACCCUCAUCAUCCACAUAA